rnacentral:rRNA from 1 species
GACGAACCGUGCGACCGUUGUUCGGAAUCACUGGGCUUAAAGGGCGCGUAGGCGGCAGAUCAAGUCCGGGGUGAAAGCCCCCAGCUUAACUGGGGAAGUGCCUUGGAAACUGAUGUGCUUGAGGGAGGUAGGGGUCGAGGGAACUUCUGGUGGAGCGGUGAAAUGCGUUGAUAUCAGAAGGAACGCCGGUGGCGAAAGCGCUCGACUGGACCUUUUCUGACGCUGAGGCGCGAAAGCUAGGGGAGCAAACGGG